GCGUCUAUGGUGUAGCGGUAACACAUCAGUCUUCCAAACUGAGUUCGCCGGUUCGAUCCCGGCUAGACGCUC
rnacentral:tRNA from 1 species